rnacentral:miRNA from 1 species
UGUGUGUGUGUGUGUGUGUGUGUGUGUGUGUAUAUAUAUAUAUUCGCUGGAAUCUUGAAAAAGAUACGAACAUGCUUGCGCACACACACACGCACACACACACACACACACACA